UGAUAGGUUAAGAGCUAAUUAACUGGACGUUACCCACAGAAGAAGCACCGGCUAACUCCGUGCCAGCAGCCGCGGUAAUACGGAGGGUGCGAGCGUUAAUCGGAAUUACUGGGCGUAAAGAGUGCGUAGGUGGUUAAUUAAGUUAUCUGUGAAAUCCCUGGGCUCAACCUGGGCAGGUCAGAUAAUACUGGUUAACUCGAGUAUGGGAGAGGGUAGUGGAAUUUCCGGUGUAGCGGUGAAAUGCGUAGAGAUCGGAAGGAACACCAGUGGCGAAGGCGGCUACCUGGCCUAAUACUGACACUGAGGCACGAAAGCGUGGGGAGCAAACAGGAUUAGAUACCCUGGUAGUCCACGCUGUAAACGAUGUCAACUAGCUGUUGGUUAUAUGAAUAUAAUUAGUGGCGCAGCAAACGCGAUAAGUUGACAUCGU
rnacentral:rRNA from 1 species